UCUCUGUCCCUCUCUGACUCUCUGUCUCUCUAACACAUACACAAAUGCACACGUGCGUGUACAUUUCAAUUCUCAUUGAACUAAAUAAACACUAUGAGAUAUUAGAAACCAUGUAAAUGUGAGACAUGGUCUAAGUUUUCAAGGAGCGCCUAAAACAGACAAGAAAAGUCACCUUUAACAAACACAUGGAUUACAAACUAAAGACAUUCCCUGUCUCUCAAACCCACUCUCUACUCUUCCACCCACUCCCUACUGCAGGAGCCUGAGACAGCAGCAACUGUUCUCUUGCCCACUGGUUACCAGUAGAUUGGAUAAGCAAACACUACUAGGCAGAGAUCGAAAGGCCCGAGGACAAUGAAGUCAGCCUCUAUCGCUGGCUCUUCCUAAGACAUUCCACCACAAGUUAGUAGUCAUCUUCCAUGAGAUUUCUUCCACAUGCUAGGCAUGGAACCCAAGGCCUCAUAUAGGUCCAGCUAGAGUGUUACCACUAAGCUACAUCCCAGCCUGGAUGUGCCUGUGACUGAAGAUAUCAGCUCCUGUUGGACAGGCCUCUUCCAUAGAUGUCCAUUUUCCCUCAGAGUUUUGGAAUCCAUCCCAUCCUCCUGUCCCCUGAAGCCCAGUGGUAGCAAGGAUUUCCUGCUAUCACCAUCUUCAGGGCUCUUGAUUUCUCUUUAUCAGUUUGUCCAACCCUAUCUUCUGCGGCGAAUCCUUCAAUUAAGCUGCACAAUGUUUUGUUACACCAUGUUCUGUCUGAUACUGAGAGUGACUCAUACAGUUCCUGGUUUGGGAUUUUUUUUUCUCAGCUUUAUGAGGGUGCAAAAGUAAUAUGAAUUCAAUGGAAACUGAACUUUGAACUCUUUUUUUUCUUAAAAAAUAUUUUCCCAGGAUGGUGAUAUGAGGAGUCAUUUUCUCAGCAGAAUGUGUGACAGCACUGAGCCACAGCUCCAAAGAAGCCAUGAGAUCUCAAGAGGCAACCACGGAUAACUCUACAAGGCUCAGCUAGGCUGAGUUAUUGGGGGUGUCCUAGAUUAGUUAACCUUAAUGUGUCUUUUGACGUAACCUAUAUUUUCAGUUUAAGAGGGGUUUAUCUGACUUUGUCCUCAUAGUAAAUCAAAAACACCCCUCUAAGUACUCUAUUGUGUAGAUCAUAGAGGCUAAAUACCAGAUAACUACAAAGGACUAGAGAACCAGGGUUCAUUGGAAGAGCCACAGCAGAUUCCUCGAGGAGGGGAAUUGCAUCUUGACUUCAGAAAAUGGGCAGACGGGCUUUCCAUGAGCAAAGGAGAGCACAUUCGAAGUAGAAGAAACAGCGUAGUCGAUGGAGAGAAGUCCAGAAAGGCUCCAUCGGUUGUCCAGUUGCCCAGUCCACAAGACUGAAUGCCUCAGCACUUCCUCUCCGCUGCAGCUCGGGGAAGUCCUAGAGAGAUGACAGUCUUCAGUCUACAUUAGAAUAUCAGGGAGCUUCCUCUACGUGCUCAUCAGUAAGAGUGAAGGCUCUGUCUAAGGAAGAUGGUGGAUGGCAUCCCAGCACCUGCACUUCAUCACCCGACUGUGGCAGCUUCUGCUAUUAUAUGUAACCUUGCGUUUUUAACUGUAGGGAAAAAGAAGUCACUUGCCCACCUAACAUGCCAGCUAUUGGAAUUGUAAGAACUAACCCCACUCAGGCAUCCCUUCUCUCAGUUAUUUCAAAAGUAAAGCAGGAAGAAAGAAGAACCUGCCUUCCAACUGUAUAGAUACAUGCAGCGUGUGGAAAUGAAGCCACUCCAGGGCAAACGACCCCCAAGAGUUCUCCGGAAGAUGGAAUUCUUCCCAAUUUUGUGUGUGUGUGUGUGUGUGUGUUUUCCUGUGAUAAAACAUCUUGAUAAAAGCAACUUAGGGGCUAAGGAAUUUAGUUGGUUCACAGUUCAUUUAUAGUUUAUUCUUGUGGGGAAGUCAGGACACCUGAGGCAUAUAUUACAUCCAUAGUCAAGACCACAGAGCAAGGAGUUUACGAAUGCACCAGAGUGCUCAGCUUGCUCUCUCCAUGCUCACAGAGUCCACCAUUUCCUGUCUAGAGGACUGUCCCACUGGGAUCAAUCUAUGCAGAAUAAUCCCUCACAGACACGUGCAUAACUAACCUAGUCUAGACAAUCCACAUUAGGACUUCUUAGAUUACACCUAGAUUGUAUUGAGUUGACAAUGAGCGCUAGUUCCUCUAGGGUCAUGAACUAGGUUCCAGCCACCUAUUGGGAAGGAAAAAGGUAAUGUGCCCCACAAAGUCUACUCCAUCAUCUUGGGUUCCUUUCUUUCAGUGAAGAUUUCCAGAAAAAAAGGGGGGAUGAAAAAAUGACUUACUGGGGGAAAUAUGAAAAACACCCAGGAUCAUAAUAAAAAUCCUUUCCACCAUGGGUUGAAUCCAGUCAGAGCCUGUCCUUUUUCUUCCACCUCUUGCGAUUUCUGAAACAUCGUUUGAAGAAACAUUUCAUGACGGUCUUUCAAAAUGUCAACCUAUUUUGGAGUCGGCAAAGCCGACUUUCCUUUGUUCCGUGUUGUUAACGCAGAGCUAUAAUCUGAGAAGUUUUUACACAGAAACAAUAAGAAAGCUGACAACUUUCAUUUUAAGAAAUCUUGAAAAGGUGGGGAAUUAUGUAUAUUGUAUUAUUAGUAUGCUUUUACUCCUGUAUAUGUGAAUAUUAGCACUUCAUACGUAAAUAGAAACUUCAGGUCAUAAGUAAAAU